rnacentral:rRNA from 1 species
CCCGCACAAGCGUGGAUUAUGUGGAUUAAUUCGAUGCAACGCGAAAAACCUUACCUACCCUUGACAUGCUAGGAAGUCCGCAGAGAUGUGGAUGUGCCCGAAAGGGAGCCUAGACACAGGUGCUGCAUGGCUGUCGUCAGCUCGUGUCGUGAGAUGUUGGGUUAAGUCCCGCAACGAGCGCAACCCUUGCCAUUAGUUGCUACAUUCAGUUGAGCACUCUAAUGGGACCGCCGGUGACAAACCGGAGGAAGGUGGGGAUGACGUCAAGUCCUCAUGGCCCUUAUGGGUAGGGCUUCACACGUAAUACAAUGGUCGGUACAGAGGGUUGCCAACCCGCGAGGGGGAGCUAAUCCCAGAAAGCCGAUCGUAGUCCGGAUUGUAGUCUGCAACUCGACUGCAUGAAGCCGGAAUCGCUAGUAAUCGCGGAUCAGCAUGUCGCGGUGAAUACGUUCCCGGGUCUUGUACACACCGCCCGUCACACCAUGGGAGUGGGUUCCACCAGAAGUAGUUAGCCUAACCGCAAGGGGGGCGAUUACCACGGUGAGAUUCAUGACUGGGGUGAAGUCGUAACAAGGUA